AGUGAACGCUGGCGGUAGGCCUAACACAUGCAAGUCGAACGGCAGCACAGUAAGAGCUUGCUCUUACGGGUGGCGAGUGGCGGACGGGUGAGGAAUACAUCGGAAUCUACUUUUUCGUGGGGGAUAACGUAGGGAAACUUACGCUAAUACCGCAUACGAUCUACGGGUGAAGGCAGGGGAUCUUCGGACCUUGCGCGAUUGAAUGAGCCGAUGUCGGAUUAGCUAGUUGGCGGGGUAAAGGCCCACCAAGGCGACGAUCCGUAGCUGGUCUGAGAGGAUGAUCAGCCACACUGGAACUGAGACACGGUCCAGACUCCUAUGGGAGGCAGCAGUGGGGAAUAUUGGACAAUGGGCGCAAGCCUGAUCCAGCCAUACCGCGUGGGUGAAGAAGGCCUUCGGGUUGUAAAGCCCUUUUGUUGGGAAAGAAAAGCAGCAGGUUAAUACCCCGCUGUUCUGACGGUACCCAAAGAAUAAGCACCGGCUAACUUCGUG
rnacentral:rRNA from 1 species